UGACUUGUCAUUGGGUCUGAUUUUAAAUGUGCCGUAUAGUUCAAUGUGGGAGCAGGUUCACACACUAAAUAAGACACUAAGGUCAAGCACAAGCAGAUUUUUUUGUUUUUUUUAACAAUUCUCAGAGCAGAUUAGAGCAGACGUUUCAGGUUGCUGCCAUCAGAGAGUAGUGACUUGACCUUAGUGUCUUUAGUGUGCUCCCACAUUGAACUCUACUUUUUGGGUCCAUGCACCUACUUAUUUCUAAACAUCUAGAGCGCAACAAUACCCCUGCCUCCUGAUGUGCCAUAUAACCUGUAUCUCUCCAAGUGUGUGUGUGUGUGUGUGUGUGUGUGUGUGUGUGUGUGUGUGUGUGUGUGUGUGUGUGUGUGUGUGAGAGAGAGAGAGAAUGUGUGCACGCAGAUAUAAGAAGUUGGGGUUGAUGAUCCACAUGAUGGUGAUGGACCAGGACAGCUCUGGACCUCCUGACUGGCAGCUCCAUCCUCAACCUCUCUUCCUGCCCUUCACACAUGUGCAGGCAGCCAGUUUUCUGAAAGAUGGUUGAUGUCAGUACCAACAUGUUGUGAUGGAGGCUUCCACCUGAGCUGAACACAGAAACUUGCACACAGUGAUGGAAGCAGUCGUUCCUGUUCAGCAUCGAUAUGCCAGUAAUGGGUUUGAUGAGCCACAGCAUGGGUAUGGGCAAUCAGCAUCAGGACCAGGGCAGCUCACAAGGAGAACCUCCUGCCCUGCCUCGUCAUCCUCACCCUCCCAUCUCCCUGCUCUUCACACAUGUGCAGGCACGCAGCCAGUUUUCAGAGGGAGGGCUGAUGACACCAGCAACUUUGGUUCUGAACCUGAUCAACCCAGCACCAACCACUGUGCCGCUCCUCCUCUUCCAACUGCACCACAUGGCUCCACCAUCUCAAAAAGGCACAGACACUACUCCACUUCCUGCGAAGGAUGAGAGAAGAGAAGACCGCCCCACAUCGGCACUCACCACCUUCUACAGGGGUGUCAUUGAGAGCAUCCUGACCAGCAGCCUCUCUGUCUGGCAUGGCAGCCGUCAAGCUGAAGACUAGAAGGCAGUACAGAGAGUGUGGUGAGAACGGCAGAAAAGCUCAUAAGAUCACCCCUACCAGCCAUUCCGGAUCUGUACACUUCACACUGUUCCAAGAGGGCAAUGAACAUCAUAAAGACACAACUCAUCCAGCAUACAGACUGUUCUCCCUACUACCAUCAGGGAAGCGCUAGCCCAGCAUGCGGUGCCGCACAAGCACACUGGGAAACGGCUUCUUUCCACAAGCCAUCAGACUCCUCAACGCACUGAAGAAAACCACAUGAAUAUUCCAAGGACACUGGAGAAUAUUUGAUGAACACUUCUUUCACCAUGCCACUUACACUUUACUCAUUGCACCUUAUAUACAGCAUCUUCAUAUCACCUGUAUGAUCUCCUCCUGCCGUGUGUGUGUGUGUGUGUGUGUGUGUGUGUGUGUGUGUGUGUGUGUGUGUGUGUGUGUGUGUGUGUGUGUGUGUGUGUGUGUGUGUGUGUCCACUGUGUUUGUGUAUUUAUUGUUAAUGUUAAUUUAUUGUAUGUUAAUCUUCUUAUUGCACACUGUUUGUGUCUCUGUGUGACUGUAUGUAUUGUAUGUAUCAGUCUGUAUUUCAUGUCAAUGCAUUAUUUUUAGUUAUUAGUUAAACUGCACAUUGGAGACUGGUCAAACACAAUUUCAAACUUUGUGUUAACCCUCCAUAGAUUUUUGUCAAAAAAUGGAGUCUAAUCUACUGUACUACACAGGCUAUCAACAGACCACACAGUUGAGUGCUGUUUUAUGCACUCUGAAUAUGAGGAGAAGGAGAGGUGACCUUUCACACUUCAUAGUGUAAAAGUAAACAGAAAUACAUUUUCACAUUUCA